rnacentral:rRNA from 1 species
AAGCCCUGGAAACGGGGUCUAAUACCGGAUAACACCGGCUUCCGCAUGGGAGCUGGUUAAAAGCUCCGGCGGUGAAGGAUGAGCCCGCGGCCUAUCAGCUUGUUGGUGGGGUAAUGGCCUACCAAGGCGACGACGGGUAGCCGGCCUGAGAGGGCGACCGGCCACACUGGGACUGAGACACGGCCCAGACUCCUACGGGAGGCAGCAGUGGGGAAUAUUGCACAAUGGGCGAAAGCCUGAUGCAGCGACGCCGCGUGAGGGAUGACGGCCUUCGGGUUGUAAACCUCUUUCAGCAGGGAAGAAGCGAAAGUGACGGUACCUGCAGAAGAAGCGCCGGCUAACUACGUGCCAGCAGCCGCGGUAAUACGUAGGGCGCAAGCGUUGUCCGGAAUUAUUGGGCGUAAAGAGCUCGUAGGCGGCUUGUCACGUCGGGUGUGAAAGCCCGGGGCUUAACCCCGGGUCUGCAUCCGAUACGGGCAGGCUAGAGUGUGGUAGGGGAGAUCGGAAUUCCUG